rnacentral:tRNA from 1 species
UCCCUGGUGGCUCAGAGGUUAAAGCGUCUGCCUGAAAUGCAGGAGACCCAGGUUCGAUCCCUGGGUCAGGAAG